CUGGCGGCAGGCCUAACACAUGCAAGUCGAGCGAGACCUUCGGGUCUAGCGGCGGACGGGUGAGUAACGCGUGGGAACGUGCCCUUCACUGCGGAAUAGUCCCGGGAAACUGGGUUUAAUACCGCAUACGCCCUUCGGGGGAAAGAUUUAUCGGUGAAGGAUCGGCCCGCGUUAGAUUAGGUAGUUGGUGGGGUAAUGGCCUACCAAGCCGACGAUCUAUAGCUGGUUUGAGAGGAUGAUCAGCCACACUGGGACUGAGACACGGCCCAGACUCCUACGGGAGGCAGCAGUGGGGAAUCUUAGACAAUGGGGGCAACCCUGAUCUAGCCAUGCCGCGUGUGUGAUGA
rnacentral:rRNA from 1 species